rnacentral:tRNA from 1 species
AGAGAUUAAAUAUAAAGCUUCUAACUUUUUUAAGAUGGUUAAAAUCCAUCAAUCUCUU